AGUGUAGACAUUUCCUCUCCAACAAAUCCUCUGGCCCUUUUGGCUUGCUGGGCCAUUUAUGUCUUCAGGCCAUUAUGACAGACCAUUUGCUUUCCUGAUUCCAAAAUUUUCAACGUUUGUCACCUCUCCCAUUGUUUCGGCCAUUUCCCCCAGAACUGGUGUGCAUAUCCCAUCUGGUGUUGUGUAUCAGAAACAGAUGAAAUAUACAUAUAACGUUCAAAUAUCAAAAACAAAUAAACAGAGCAUCGGUGA